CCCAGCGGCAGUCAGCUGUGCAGGUUUGUGCCAUGCCUGCUUCAGUGUUACUCUGCUGGGAGAGGAAGGUGCUGCCACUAGGCUUGGGCUCUGGGAGGCGCUGUUCUAGUGUCUGCUGAUGCCCAGCCGCGGUGGUACCAUGCCCCCCUGAGAGUGGGCAGCCCCCUCACAAACUGGGGAUGGCCCUAGUCUGGGGGCUCACAUU